AGUUGCUUGCUGGGACCAUGAGGGGGAAGAAGGACUGAAAGGCUACCAAACUUCACAAGUAAAGAGGCCCUGCUCAAGCAGAGGACAGUCAGUAUUCAUCUGGAACGAGGAACUGCAGCUUCUCUCCUGGAUAAGAUCAGUGCAGACUAUUAAAGAACACAUCGACAAAUCAACCCUACUCGUAAACAAAAGUGCCUGUAACAAAAUGGCCACCUGAUUGCUGAGCUACAUUUCUGAGAACACCACAAGCCUAAGGUCAAGGUUCACCAAACUUCCAAAGUGGAAAAAGUCCCAGCUUCAGCAUACCUCUGUUAUAGUAAAGAGGAUUUGUAAGUGCCAGGAGGGCAUGUUCCAGUGUUCAGGCUCUCACUGAUUAUGCUUUAUACAAAAUAUGCUUUUUACUUGUAACAAAAUAAGGUGCAUUUUAACUCUCAAAAUGUAUAUUUCACCUUCUUCUCUGGGCUGUAUCACAGAUCUCUCUUCAAUAUUUACUUUUCUGCAUAUAUAAUCAAAUAUUUUUAAAGGGUCAGAGCUAAUUAAACAUUCUUCUUUUCUCAGGGCACUUUUUCUUUCAUAGUAAAACUUGCAUUUUUCAGGAUUAACCCAGGUCAUGCCUGAGCAAAAGAAAAAUCUGCUGGCCAGACAAGAGAGAGAAUCCCAGACACCUGCUGGCAGAAAUCUGUGUUUUCAGUCCCAUUUGUUUCUACCCUAUCCAGACAUAAUAUUUAUAGCAAUCCUUUAAAUCCCAAAUAAGAACUAUCAAGCUAGUUCUUUAAAGGCCCACUCCUUGCCUAAAUGAUUAAAGUGCAUCUCCCUGGAAGGAUGGUGUUGAUCCAUCCAGCAAAAGAAUAGUGUUAGUAUGUGUCUCUGUCUCUGUCUCUCUCUCCCUCUAUCUAUUAGAGAGAAGUGAAGAACUGGAACACACUUGUGGUUGGGAUGGUGGAGUCGAAUAUAGUAAAACAAAUGGAUGAAUAUAUGGAAGUCAAAAAGUUAAAGGAGGGUUUUCAUGCUUAUUUUAGGGGCCAGGAAAAGAGUGUUUCAAUAAUGGGAGUUUCCCCUCCCCAAGUCUUGCUUAAAGGCAAACUGCAAAACUAAAAUUUAAAAUGCAGUCAAGCACUGAUUUAUAUGCUGCAUGCCCUUAUUGAUCCAGCCAUGGGAUGUUUUCAGCACAGCAAUAAGUUUUAACAAACCUGAUUUUUACUUCCUUUUUCCCCUCUGAUGUAUCAUGGCACUUUUUUUAUACCAUCACAAAUGCUAUCAGUUGCAUGUUUUGCACAGUGAUUUCUGGCAUCUGUGGUAUCACAGGUAAUACUGACACUUCAUUUUUAAUCUCUCUAGUUAUCUUGGGAGUCUGAAUUUUUUUUGCAUACCAAAAGUGCAGUUUAGGAAACUUUUUGCAAACUUUGCUAUCAUAAGAACAAUACUGUGUAUUGUAAGAUUGAGUGAUCAUCCCCUUUUGGGCAAUUCUUGGGUAAGUGUGAUUCUGUUUUUUGCUGUGCAGGUGUCUGCAUAGUAGAACUGGAAGACAGUCUCUGAAACAUACUUCUUUUGUUGUGUAUCCUCCAUUCAGCAAAGAGUAGCCAAAACCAGUAGGGAAAAAAAUCUAAAACCACAGACUGAGUAGAUACAGAGGAAAGGAUACAGCUUUUUCUUUUUUCUUAUUUUCUUUUUCCAGGUGACCUGCAGAUUCCUUUAAUUUCCAUUAGUACUCAAAUUGUAUAGCUCUUAUGAGUCCACUAGAUGGUGCCAUAGUCAUCGUAGAUAUUUGGAAAUCAUGUUCUGUGCUAUAAUUUGUUUGACUGUAAUUCACAAAUUCACUCAUUUUUAUGCACAUUUUGGUUUGGAUUCUGCAAAUUGAGGGUGUUGUUGGGAAUAAGUAGCUACUUGGCAUUAAUUAUAUAUGCCCUAAUAUUGCAAGGAUGUGCUUGUUUUGUCACUGACUUCAAAGGGGUCAGGAUUUUACCUUAUGCACAGCUGCCUUGAAGUCAAUGGAACUACACUCUUUUUGCAAAAAGUUAAGAACUUUAUGGAUUUAUGGGACUUAUGGGAGACGACUCAUAUGGAGACUCAUGCAUAAUAUAUUUGUUGGUGCUUAAUAAUUUUCUUAGAGAUUAUGCAAAGUGGAAAGGUCUUGUGCUUGUAGAAUGAGAAAAGAAGAAGUUCAGUAAUUCUCCUUAAAUCAACUGUGAUCCUGUUGUUGGAUCUGCCUGGUGAGACCCUUGCAAACAUGUGGCACCUCCUGGAAGUCAAUGAGAAUGUAUGUGCAGAAGAUAGUUCCAAUUGCAGGAUCAUGCUUUGAAUUAGUCCACAACUCCAGGAGAGGUGGCUCAGUAAAGAAUGUGAGAAUUCUUGUAUGUAUACACCUGUGCUAGGAGCAUUAGGAGAUGCAUGAACAUAUUUGAUCUGCUAUUGCAAUUAGUCAAAGCUGGCAUAAUAAAAAAAGGUAAUGAUUUC